AUGUAUUGCUUACAGAAAGCUGCUGUCACACAGACAUGCUUUAAUAAAAAUGGAAUGAGUUACAUAAUAACAGUGACUGUAUUUGAUGCUCCAUUUCCAAGCCAAUGAAGGAUUUCUGCCUGAGUUGAAAGAAAUUCAGUUUCAGAACUGCUAUGAAGAGAACAGGAUAAAGAAGAGCUGGGUACCUUUCAGAUAUUAUGAUGGAAAGUGUGGUGACAUAACAAAAAGCCCUUAACUUUGAUUCAUGGCAUUUUUGUUAGAUAAGUAAUAAGAGCAGACAUCUUAACCUUUCUGGUCUGUGAGUUUGGAGAGUAUCAUCUCAAGCAGCUGAUGCACUAAGAUGAGAUCUUCCACUUCAGUCUGAAAUCAGUUUACCCUCAAUGAGGUGAAGGUGACCUUGGAAACAAUCCUACCUAUCAAUACAGUUCUGUCACAUCUUUCUAUCCACUGCCAUAGUCACAGCUUUUUACCACUUAGCUUCAGCACAAGAAAAGAGAAAAAGCAAAUAUCUUAUAUGAAGAAAGAGGAGUUCAUCUCCCAAAGUGGAGAAUCACUGACAGUCAUAGGUGGGAGAGGGCCUCUGGAGCAGGCCUUGUCCAACCUCAGCUCAAAGCAGGGCUACCUACAGGGGCUGCUCAGGGCUGUUUCCAGUCAAAUGUUGAAUACCUCCAAGGACAAAGACUUCACUCUGCUAUUAGGCUUCAUCUAGAGCAAGAGGGAGGGAGUAGUUUGCUUUACAAAGUGCAUCCUGAAAACAAGAGACAGAGAAACUCCUGACUAGGCCUUGGACUUCCACUGAGGGCUGUGGCUCAGGGAAGUCUCUCCAGGCAUGAGUGUCCAAACUUUUGCUUUGCCUGGGCCACAGUGAGUAAAGAUGAAUUGUUUGUGGACAAUGUUUGGUUGUUGCAGAGCAAUGACUUUGUGCUUGGGUGUGAGUUGGGCUGCUCAGCAGAGAUGAGAUGACACUAUGAUGGCAUGGGCUGUAGGUUAGACAUGUCUGCUGGAGACCAUAGUGACAACAUCCUUCUGCCAGGAUCUGGUAGGAUUUUGAGCUCUUAGUCCCAAACCUUUGCUACAGUAGCAGCCAUGGAAAAGCAAAUUGUCUGCCUUUUCACUCGAAC
ensembl:lncRNA